rnacentral:rRNA from 1 species
UACGAAGGGGGCGAGCGUUGUUCGGAUUUACUGGGCGUAAAGGGCGCGCAGGCGGCCAUCUUUGUCAGACGUGAAAGCCCCGGGCUCAACCUGGGAGGUGCGUUUGGGACGGGGUGGCUAGAGAUCGGGAGAGGAGCGUGGAAUUCCCAGUGUAGAGGUGAAAUUCGUAGAUAUUGGGAAGAACUCCGGUGGCGAAGGCGGCGCUCUAGACCGAGACUGACGCUGAGGCGCGAAAGCGUGGGGAGCAAACAGG